AAAGUGAGGUGGAUCUCCAGCUCCUGCCCGUCGGCGGCGGUUCAACGUUCCUCGCUGUGGCUCUGCUCUGGAGCGUGUGAGCUCGACUAGCCCCGGCUUUCCGCUAUAUAGGGGCGUUAGGAGCUGAGUUCUGGGUGGUCAGGUGUUUCGCAUGAGUGUCAUCAGCUGGAGGACUAUGAGAAGGAGGCAAGCCAGUACUUCGACUCUUGAGUGUUUUGCCUCUUCGUGGUAUUUAACCUGGCCAAUUCAUGGAACUGUUUCUCUGAGAAGAUUCUGUUCUUGUACCUUGACUAAUGUUUGUUUUUGUCUCAAGUUGACCAAGCCUCGUUCAUGAGAGAUAUCAGAAGGAACUUACCAACAGUUUUUAAUGACUCUGGAUUCUUGUUUUGUUCCGCUGGCAGCCAGAUCAGACUUUGUCCUCACAACUUCAAGCGAACCCUAUCCACCCUCCACCAUAACUCUCAGGACUCUCCUGUUACGGCAGUGUUGCAUAGCCCGCCGCUCACCAGGAUCACAACCUCUCUCCCUGGCGGACUUAACCCUACCCAAUUCUCUCUGCUACUUCUGUUUCCUGCACCUGAGCCUGAAAAUAAAGUUUUCUUAAACGUU